rnacentral:tRNA from 1 species
CAGAUUGUAGCUUAUAUUUAAAGCUUAUUUUUUACAUUAAUAUGAAAAUAUUUUAUUCUAUCUGA